rnacentral:rRNA from 1 species
AUUGAACGCUGGCGGCAUGCCUAACACAUGCAAGUCGAACGGCAGCACGACCUAGCUUGCUAGGUUGGUGGCGAGUGGCGCACGGGUGAGUAAUGCGUAGAAAUAUACCUUAAAGUGGGGGACAACCUGGGGAAACUCAGGCUAAUACCGCAUGAGCUCUAAGGAGGAAAGCUGGGGACCUUUCGGGGCCUGGCGCUUUAAGAAUAGCUUACGUCCGAUUAGUUAGUUGGUGGGGUAAAGGCUUACCAAGACGAUGAUCGGUAGCUGGUCUGAGAGGAUGAUCAGCCACACUGGGACUGAGACACGGCCCAGACUCCUACGGGAGGCAGCAGUGGGGAAUAUUGGACAAUGGGGGAAACCCUGAUCCAGCGAUGCCGCGUGUGUGAAGAAGGCCUGCGGGUUGUAAAGCACUUUCGGUGGGGAGGAGGACUUAUAGGUUAAGAGCUAAUGAGUUGGACGUUACCCACAUAAGAAGCACCGGCUAACUCCGUGCCAGCAGCCGCGGUAA